rnacentral:rRNA from 1 species
GGGGAAUCUUCCGCAAUGGACGAAAGUCUGACGGAGCAACGCCGCGUGAGUGAUGACGGCCUUCGGGUUGUAAAGCUCUGUUAAUCGGGACGAAAGGUCCUCUUGCGAAUAGUUAGAGGAAUUGACGGUACCGGAAUAGAAAGCCACGGCUAACUACGUGCCAGCAGCCGCGGUAAUACGUAGGUGGCAAGCGUUGUCCGGAAUUAUUGGGCGUAAAGCGCGCGCAGGCGGAUCAGUUAGUCUGUCUUAAAAGUUCGGGGCUUAACCCCGUGAUGGGAUGGAAACUGCUGAUCUAGAGUAUCGGAGAGGAAAGUGGAAUUCCUAGUGUAGCGGUGAAAUGCGUAGAUAUUAGGAAGAACACCAGUGGCGAAGGCGACUUUCUGGACGAAAACUGACGCUGAGGCGCGGAAGCCAGGGGAGCGAACGGGAUUAGAUACCCCGGUAGUCCUGGCCGUAAACGAUGGGUACUAGGUGUAGGAGGUAUCGACCCCUUCUGUGCCGGAGUUAACGCAAUAAGUACCCCGCCUGGGGAGUACGACCGCAAGGUUG